UGCAGGGAUGCUGCAUGCUCACACAUGCUGCAGUGGGGUAAUCCCCGCCUGCAUUGGCUCCUGUGCUGCAGAUGGAUCCCAAAUCUUUUCUCUUUUCAUUGUUGGGAGGAGGGAAGUGCCCUCAAGGAGGAGCAUAAUAUGGAAUGACUUCAGUAGGUGCUGCGGAUCCAAGUCUGGGUGCCGCAUCAGCCCUAGUUUCCCUCCUGGUAUCUCCUUGGAGAAAGAAGAAGUAAAGAUGUUCCAGCAAUCACCACAAAGCCCUUUUCUCCCCCUUUUUGCCCCCAAAACAAGGACUGGUUGCACCAUGCACACACAGUGUGGUUUAGCACAUGGGGUGCAGCGUGGUGGAGAUGGUGGGGAUGAGUUGGGGCUGGAGUGGAUGAUCCCAGAGAUCUUUUCCAACCCAAAUGACUCUGUGGGGCUCUGAGUGGCUGCGGUCGCGGUUGGUUGAUGGUUGGACUGGAUGAUGUUACUGCUCUUCUCCAACCCGAGUGACUCCAUGAGUGGGGAUGAGUUGGCGCUUGGACUGGAUGACCUUCAUGCUCUUUUCCCACCUUAAUGACUCCAUAACUCCACGAUUCCAUCCCAAUGCAGUGCACCCACCCAAUGCAAAGAACCCUACAUUACUCCCACCACCCCAACCUUUGAGGAUCAGCACUGGAGCCUCCAAAUACCCCUCCUUCACCAUACGGUGCUCAGCCCAGGGCUUGGGAUCAGGAUGAGAUGAAUUCCAGCCGGGCCCACGUGCUGCCUCUCGCCGAUGAUUUGCAGCACAGAGCAGCCCUGCUCACUGCGUGCCUCCUUCCAAAUGGCUCCGUCUGACCCGGCUCAAGUUCUCCCCAGCACUAAUUGAUUUCUGCUUCCUGCCGGUUCCCUUCCAGCCCCCCACCAGCCUCCAGCCCUCGGGAACCCGCAGACAAAGCCUCCGGGCUCUCAGUUUCCUGCACUCAACCUCCAUCCAUCUGAUCAUGUAUCUUAACAAAAAAUCUGUGAAUUCCUCUAUUUCUUCCCCCUCCGCCCCCCCAUUUCUUUCUUUUCCCCCCUUCCUUUUUCUCAGGCAUCCCAAGGGAAGUUCCCAGAGCCUUCUCCCCAUUGCUCACAGCCAUCUGCUCCGACCCACAGUGAGUUCCCUUUCCUCCCCAUCUCCCAUUAAGGACCAUGUUAAUCCGCCCCGUUCGGGUCGCACAUGGCUGUUUGGAGGGACGUGGGAAAUGGCUCUUUGCAAGAGGAGACCUCAAAGCCAAUUUGGGGCCAAAUUUCAGCCUUUUCCCAUUGCAGCCUCCAGCCGUUAUCAGCCCAUAAAUGCAAAUCCUCCUUGCUCUCCUUCUGUCCUUACCUCUGGCUGUGAUUUCAAAUGAGGGAUGGGGAAGUUGUCAGUGUGGUUUCAUCCCCAAUAACCCAUCCCCAGAUCCUGCCCUUCUCAAUGGCCUGUAGUGUAGCAAAGUGCCUCUCCUCAGUGUGGAUUCUCUGCUGGCUCAUAGGGUUGUGCUCCGGCUGCAGAUUUCCUUUGAUGGGGAAGGUUGUAUCCGUGGAGAUGGGGUAGAAAAAGGGGCAUUUCUCCCCCAAAAUAAAUGUCCAAGAAGCACCA
rnacentral:lncRNA from 1 species